CGGGCUGUGGCGCAGCUUGGUAGCGCGCUUGACUGGGGGUCAAGAGGUCGGGAGUUCAAAUCUCCCCAGCCCGACCA
rnacentral:tRNA from 1 species